UACGGGGGGGGCAAGCGUUGUUCGGAAUUACUGGGCGUAAAGGGCUCGUAGGUGGCCAACUAAGUCAGACGUGAAAUCCCUCGGCUUAACCGGGGAACUGCGUCUGAUACUGGAUGGCUUGAGUUUGGGAGAGGGAUGCGGAAUUCCAGGUGUAGCGGUGAAAUGCGCAGAUAUCAGGAAGAACACCUAUGGCGAAGGCAGCUCUCUGGGACGGUACUGACGCUGAGACGCGAAAGCGUGGGGAGCGAACAGG
rnacentral:rRNA from 1 species